rnacentral:lncRNA from 1 species
AGUUCAUAGUGUGAAUUGAUCCCUAAAGUGUUACCAACAUCAGUUCUUUCUUUCUCCCAAAGAAUGAGAGCAGAUAAAAUAACAUCUCCAGCACCUUCUUCUACAUCUCUGCAAAGUGACCAGUCACUGGAUCGACCGAUACUGUUUAACGAUGGAGCUCUGGGGAAUGAAAGGCAAAGACCAGAUGAAGCCACAUCUCCAGCACCAUCUAAAUCUCUAACAAGUGACAAGUCACUGGAUCGGCCAAUACUAUUUAAAGAUGGUACACAGAGUAUAAGAAGGAGUAAAAGGCUGAGACCAAAUAAAGCAACAUCUUCUGCACCGUCCAGCACAUCUCUGAGAAGUGACCAGUCACUGGAUCGACCGAUACUGUUCAAAGAUGAAGCACCAAGUACAAGGUAGGUUACAGAGUUAUACAUAUUUAAAACACACACACACACACAC